rnacentral:lncRNA from 1 species
CUCUGUCCCGCCCCGGAUGCCCACCUGCGUCCGCCUUCGGCUAACGGCCUUCUCCUCGAACCUCUACCCUUUCUGAUCUAGCAGCUUACUGCUAUGUUGCAGGUCACUGUGAGUUUCUCUAAAAUUUACUUUUACAGUUGGUUCAUUUAAAUACAGUCCUUUGGAAUUUUGUUUGAACGUGUUUGAACACCUCAUUGAGGUUCCAAUCAAUAGCUCAGCUCAACGUUUCAUAGCCCCGCGAAUCUAAGUUAGACUGUACCUGGAAUCAUCAAAAUACUGUGUGUGCUCUCAUUCCCUUGGUCACAGAGGGGAGGAACGCAAGGUACCGGAGGAGCAUGUGUUUGGAAAGGAAGCGAAUCUGAGGGCAGUGUAAGAAGAAUGACGGGAGUGGAAACAAGUCAGCAGCCUGGAUGCCAUGGGCUGAUAAUUU